GAUGAACGCUAGCGGCAGGCCUAACACAUGCAAGUCGAGGGGUAGAACACUUCGGUGUUUGAGACCGGCGCACGGGUGCGUAACGCGUAUGCAAUCUGCCUUGUACAGGGGAAUAGCCCAGAGAAAUUUGGAUUAAUGCCCCAUAGUAUAUAACCUUCGCAUGUUGGUUAUAUUAAAGUUCCAACGGUACAAGAUGAGCAUGCGUCCCAUUAGUUAGUUGGUAAGGUAACGGCUUACCAAGACGAUGAUGGGUAGGGGUCCUGAGAGGGAGAUCCCCCACACUGGUACUGAGACACGGACCAGACUCCUACGGGAGGCAGCAGUGAGGAAUAUUGGUCAAUGGGCGCAAGCCUGAACCAGCCAUGCCGCGUGCAGGAAGACGGUCCUAUGGAUUGUAAACUGCUUUUAUACAGGAAGAAACAACUCUACGUGUAGAGUCUUGACGGUACUGUAGGAAUAAGGAUCGGCUAACUCCGUGCCAGCCGCCGCAGUAUAC
rnacentral:rRNA from 1 species